rnacentral:rRNA from 1 species
UGCCUCAGUAACGGCGAGUGAAGCGGCAAGAGCUCAAAUUUGAAAUCUGGCCCCUCCGGGGUCCGAGUUGUAAUUUGCAGAGGAUGCUUCGGGAGCGGUCCCCGUCUAAGUGCCCUGGAACGGGCCGUCAUAGAGGGUGAGAAUCCCGUCUGGGAUGGGCGGCCGCGCCCGUGUGAAGCGCCUUCGACGAGUCGAGUUGUUUGGGAAUGCAGCUCUAAGUGGGUGGUAAAUUUCAUCUAAAGCUAAAUACUGGCCGGAGACCGAUAGCGCACAAGUAGAGUGAUCGAAAGAUGAAAAGCACUUUGAAAAGAGAGUUAAACAGCACGUGAAAUUGUUGAAAGGGAAGCGUUGUCCACCAGACUCGCCCGAGGGGGUUCAGCCGGCACUCGUGCCGGUGUACUCUCCCCCGGGCGGGCCAGCAUCGGUUUGGGCGGCUGGUGAAAGGCCCCGGGAAUGUAACACCCUCCGGGGUGCCUUAUAGCCCGGGGUGUCAUGCGGCCAGCCUGGACCGAGGCCCGCGCUUCGGCGAGGAUGCUGGCGUAAUGGUGGUCAACGGCCCGUCUUGAAACACGGACCAAGGAGUCUAACAUCUAUGCGAGUGUUCGGGUGUCAAACCCGUCCGCGCAGUGAAAGCGAACGGAGGUGGGAGCCUUUCGGGGUGCACCAUCGACCGAUCCUGAAGUCUUCGGAUGGAUUUGAGUAAGAGCAUAGCUGUUGGGACCCGAAAGAUGGUGAACUAUGCCUGAAUAGGGCGAAGCCAGAGGAAACUCUGGUGGAGGCUCGCAGCGGUUCUGACGUGCAAAUCGAUCGUCAAAUUUGGGUAUAGGGGCGAAAGAC